rnacentral:lncRNA from 1 species
UUGUCCACUCUACUCACAUUUCGUGAGAAAUAGACUGAUUUUACUCAAUUAUUUAAUAAUUGAGGAAUGAUUGUAAAUAAGCCCCAUAAAUAUUUUUAUGGAGGCUCAAACUCUUACACUCAUUAUUCUAAGUGCAAAUAUUCUCCUACUGGACCAAAGGUUCAUUGGUGGAAACUUUUUAACCUUAACGCUUGGCAAACCAACAAAACAACCCCUUACAGUAUCCGAAUGAAUUCUUGUGUAUUUAGUGGCUGUGUCGAGGUAAAUUGGUUGCUUUGCUGCUGGGUGUAAAUGCCACAAGGAAAAGGAAUUUAUUCCCUUUGCACGUUUAAUCUAUCUCCGUACUCAAAUGAUGCCAAAAUACAAAAUUCGGCAGCGCAGAAAUUUCUGUACGUCGGAGCCCGGAGGCCGCCCAUUUAAAUAUCAUGAUUCAAGUAGAUAAGAUCAUUAAUUGUAAAAAGAAAAAAAAAAUGAAGAUAAGAUCGAUCUGAAAUGUCACCCACGUCGAUUACUAGAUUGCGUUUGCUCGACAGUGGAAAAAAAAAGAAAAAUAUUAGGACUGAAUUAUUUUAAUAAACUUUAAUUUAAUCCCAUGCCCCACUCUUUUAUCCUGCACCCGCGCUUUCGAGCUUCCGUGUGAUAACCAUAAAAGUAUUUUCCCAUCUUCACCCGCGAGGAUAACCUUUAUACGUUUAAAA